rnacentral:rRNA from 1 species
AUUGAACGCUGGCGGCAGGCCUAACACAUGCAAGUCGAGCGAGCGGCGGACGGGUGAGUAAUGUCUGGGAAACUGCCUUAUGGGGGGGGAUAACUUCUGGAAACGGUGGCCUAUACCGCAUACUAUCAUAUGUGCUCAGAGGGGAUUCGCUAGUUGGUGGGGUAACGGCUCACCAAGGCGACGAUCCCUAGCUGGUCUGGGAGGAUGACCCGCCACACUGGAACUGAGACACGGUCCAGACUCCUACGGGAGGCAGCAGUGGGGAAUAUUGCACAAUGGGCGCAAGCCUGAUACAGCCAUGCCGCGUGUGUGAAGAAGGCCUUCGGGUUGUAAAGCACUUUCAGCGGGGAGGCGUUACCCGAAGAAGAAGCACCGGCUAACUCCGUGCCAGCAGCCGCGGUAAUAC